AUUGAACGCUGGCGGCAGGCUUAACACAUGCAAGUCGAGCGGGGGAAGGUAGCUUGCUACCGGACCUAGCGGCGGACGGGUGAGUAAUGCUUAGGAAGCUGCCUAUUAGUGGGGGACAGCAUCUCGAUAGGGAUGCUAAUACUGCAUACGUCCUACGGGAGAAAGCAGGGGAUCGUCGGACCUUGCGAUAGUAGAUGAGCCCAGGUCGGAUUAGCUAGUUGGUGGGGUAAAGGCCUACCAAGGCGACGAUCGGUAGCGGGUCUGAGAGGAUGAUCCGCCACACUGGGACUGAGACACGGCCCAGACUCCUACGGGAGGCAGCAGUGGGGAAUAUUGGACAAUGGGGGGAACCCUGAUCCAGCCAUGCCGCGUGUGUGAAGAAGGCCUUAUGGUUGUAAAGCACUUUAAGCGAGGAGGAGGCUACUUUAGUUAAUACCUAGAGAUAGUGGACGUUACCCGCAGAAUAAGCACCGGCUAACUCUGUGCCAGCCGCCGCCGUAA
rnacentral:rRNA from 1 species